rnacentral:rRNA from 1 species
UACAGAGGUGGCAAGCGUUGUUCGGAAUUACUGGGCGUAAAGGGCGCGUAGGCGGCCUACUAAGUCAGACGUGAAAUCCCCCGGCUUAACCUGGGAACUGCGUCUGAUACUGGGAAGGCUUGGAGGAUGGGAGAGGGAUGUAGAAUUCCAGGUGUAGCGGUGAAAUGCGUAGAUAGUCGGAGGAAUACCGGGUGGGCGAAGGCGGCAUCCUGGACCGUACUGGACGCUGAG